rnacentral:ncRNA from 1 species
CCGUCUCAUAAGGGGUGCUCAAAUUAACGAGCUGAGAUCAUACCCAUAGAACCUGGGCGGGUAAUGCUGCCAAGGGAGUCUUGCAAUAGUUGAUUA